rnacentral:rRNA from 1 species
GACGUAGGGGGCAAGCGUUGUCCGGAAUUAUUGGGCGUAAAGCGCUCGUAGGCGGAUCGGUAAGUCUGUGAAGAAAGACCCGGGCUCAACUCGGGGAACGGCAUAGAUACUGCUGAUCUUGAGACAGUCAGAGGAUGAUGGAAUUCCAGGUGUAGCGGUGAAAUGCGUAGAUAUCUGGAGGAACACCAGUGGCGGAAGGCGAUCAUCUGGGGCUGUUCUGACGCUGAGGAGCGAAAGCUAGGGGAGCAAACGGG